rnacentral:snRNA from 1 species
GAAUGUGAGGGCAAUCUGGCCGUGACGUCUGUCACCAUAUUGAUCUCCAGGGUUGAUUCAACUGAUCUGCCUGGCUAGGGGGAUGUCCCCUUCCUCCCUCACCUCUCCAUGUGCUCCCCUCCUAAAGCUUUGGGCUCAAUGGAAGAAGAUGACCACCUCCCACCAUAGAGGAAGACUGACAAGGCUAUACUAGUAGCUGAGCUCCACUGCUAGAAUCUGCAAAUAAGCUCUCUAUUACGUAUUUAUUAGUUUUAACAGUUUCAGAGUGAAUGGGGAGGCUUUAAGGUUUUUUACACAUAAGGCCAUGUCAUCUACAAAGAGCAAUCCUGU